CAUGCAUACACAAGGCAAACAUCACAAGCAAUUCUCAAAAGAAAAUUACAGAAGAACAUGAGCCUAAGGGUGUAUGUGUAUAAGGGUCCUUGGCUUACAUAUGAGUCUCUGUCUUUCUCUCAGCUACCUCAUUCACCUAAACAUCUGUUAGGAGCUUUGAGAUUCUUUAAACCUGCAUGAGUGACACCAGGAAAAUUACCCCAUCCUCAAACAGGUUUGGGCUCUAGGAAUGAUUCUGCCCAGCAGCCCAUCUUUCCAUCUAGUUGAGACCGAGCAAUGAAGUCAAAGAACAUUCUUUGGUCAAAUAUGUUUUGGCCUGGAUUUGCUAGAAGAGCUCUUUGGACUUGCUGAGAACUCAAUUACUGAAUCUUCUUUCAUUUAGCUUUUGUGUUUCCUGGACAGAACUCAAGAGGAAGAUAUUAUUGUAGUGGGGUUAAACAAGGUCACUCUAGUCUGAGUGACAGACAAUAAUAACGAGCCCCAGAAAGGUACCUGUUUUCCAGGGUGGUGUGAUCAGUAUUACACAAAAAUCUUGCAAGCCAUCUUUUACGAGGCCAGCAAGAUCACAGAAGGCAAUACCCAGUUUGCUCAGAGACAAGCUGUUUGCUAAUCAAGUUUUCUUAUACUCAGAACUAUGGAAACAUUUUCAAAGGUAUUAUUCUCGGCAGGUUUCCAAUAAUUCAACAUUUCCAGACUUAUCCAAAUGGCUUCUGAAAUAUUUGCUGUUUGUUGAGAGCAGCUUUCAGGAUGAGGUAAUUAAAAGAAACCUAUCAAUUUGAGAUUUUUUUUUACCGUGAGUAAAUAAUGUUGACAUACUGUUCAAAUAAACCCACAAUUUACUGCAAUCUGUUUUUAGAGAAACCCUCCACUUUAACCUCCAAAUAGGAAAAAACGAAGAGACUUUCCUCUUCUCAUUUAAUCAAGAACAUAUGUUCAAAGAUAAUACCGGAGGCUUAUUCUGGGAAGCGUUCUGCUCUUCCUCCGACAGCCACGCAGCGAGCUCACGAGGCAGCCUCCACACAUAAUGAAAGCAAACGCCACCAUAAAUCUCCCGCUCGGCGGAGGUCACUUCAGAAAAAUCGCCCGCUGCUCAGAUAAGCACCAGCUUUGCUGAGGAACAUGGAAGGGGGAAAACACCGACUGUGAUAAACACCAGCAGGAUGACUGGAGUCCGCUGGAACCUGGAAUGGAGUUUUCUGACAGCAAAGGAUUACAGGAGCGUAACAGAAAUUAUGGAGAUUUCCCCGCUAGGCAUAAGGAUGCGAUCACUGUAGGCACCUGUGGGCCCAAGCAGGUUACCCACCAAUAUCCCUUUAAACACCAAAUUAUGGACUAUUAGGCCACUGCUUCAAGGCUUCUACAAAUGUGAAACCUUGACAAAUUCCCAAAUAAAAGCCAUAAAACCAA
rnacentral:lncRNA from 1 species